UCUACGGGUGGCAGCAGUGGGGAAUAUUGCGCAAUGGGCGAAAGCCUGACGCAGCGACGCCGCGUGAGGGAUGAAGGUCUUCGGAUCGUAAACCUCUGUCAGCAGGGAAGAACGGUCACUGUGCUAAUCAGCAGUGAAUUGACGGUACCUGCAAAGGAAGCACCGGCUAACUCCGUGCCAUCAGCCGCGGUAAUACGGAGGGUGCGCGCGUUAGUCGGAAUUACUGGGCGUAACGCGCUCGUAGUUGGUAUGUCAAGUAAAGGGUGAAAUCCCCGCGCUCAACGUGGGAACUGCCUUUGAAUCGGGCAAACUGGAGUGUGUGAGAGGAUAGUGGAAUUACAGGUGUAGGAGUGAAAUCCGUAGAUAUCUGGAGGAACAUCAGUGGCGAAGGCGACUAUCUGGCACAUAACUGACGCUGAGGAGCGAAAGCGUGGGUAGCAAACAGGAUUAGAUACCCGGGUAGGC
rnacentral:rRNA from 1 species